AAGUCGUAACAAGGUUUCCGUAGGUGAACCUGCGGAAGGAUCAUUAUCACGUAUCCACGUUAUCAACCAUCGUGAACUGUUCUACCUCCAGUUGAUGCAGUGAGUUGGGUGAUAGAGAAGCUUGAAGCAAUUUCAAGGAGCUUUUUUGUUGUGCAAUUUGAGCUCUGGUUUCUUGUUUUUUUUCUAUCAUUCCUCGAGUCAUGUCGUGCUGCAUCGAUUGGAGCGUAUUUUCAAAAUUCGCACUACCAAUAACCAUUUAAACCACAACUUUGAUUCAUGAACUGAAUUGAUUUCUUACUCUUUCUCACGAAGGAGAAGAAAUAAAAAUUACGAAACAAAGAACAACUCUUAGCAACGGAUAUCUUGGUUCUC
rnacentral:misc_RNA from 1 species